rnacentral:misc_RNA from 1 species
GAAUGAAUGUAGAGUCGGUUGUCGCUGGUCCCUUCGGGGGCAUGUGCACGCCUCCUCUUUCAUCCACACACACCUGUGCGCCCGUGAGACGGAAGCCCUCGGGAGUCCGUCUGCUCUACAUAAUCUCAUAUAUAUAAUUUGAAUGUAAUCGAUGUAACACAUCUUUAAGCUAAGUUUCAACAACGGAUCUCUUGGCUCU